rnacentral:rRNA from 1 species
GGUUGAUCCUGCCAGUAGCAUAUGCUUGUCUUAAAGAUUAAGCCAUGCAUGUCUAAGUAUAAACUAUUUUAUACGGUGAAACUGCGAAUGGCUCAUUAAAUCAGUUAUAGUUUAUUUGAUAAUACCCUACUACUUGGAUAACCGUAGUAAUUCUAGAGCUAAUACAUGCUAAAAGGAGGAACCGUUGAGGAACCUCUGCAUUUAUUAGAUAUUUGCAAAACCAGCGCACAUGUAGGGGAAACUCUAUAUGUGAACUUGUGUGUUUGGUGAAUCAUAAUAACUGAGCGAAUCG